ACCCGCUGAACUUAAGCAUAUCAAUAAGCGGAGGAAAAGAAACUAACAAGGAUUCCCUUAGUAACGGCGAGUGAACCGGGAAGAGCUCAAAUUUGUAAUCUGGCGUCCUCAGGGCGUCCGAGUUGUAAUCUAUAGAAGUGUUUUCCGUGCCGGACCGUGUCCAAGUCCCUUGGAACAGGGUAUCAAAGAGGGUGACAAUCCCGUACUUGACACGACGACCGGUGCUCUGUGAUACGCUUUCUACGAGUCGAGUUGUUUGGGAAUGCAGCUCAAAAUGGGUGGUGAGUUCCAUCUAAAGCUAAAUAUUGGCGAGAGACCGAUAGCGAACAAGUACCGUGAGGGAAAGAUGAAAAGCACUUUGGAAAGAGAGUUAAACAGUACGUGAAAUUGUUGAAAGGGAAACGAUUGAAGUCAGUCGUGUCUGGAAGGUUCAGCCGGCUCUGCCGGUGUAUUCCCUCCAGACGGGUCAACAUCAGUUUGGAUCGGUGGAUAAGGAUGGCAGGAAUGUGGCACCUCCGGGUGUGUUAUAGCCUGCUGUUGCAUACACUGAUUCAGACUGAGGAAUGCAAGCUCGCCUUUAUGGCCGGGGUUCGCCCACGUCCGAGCUUAGGAUGUUGACAUAAUGGCUUUAAACGACCCGUCUUGAAACACGG
rnacentral:rRNA from 1 species